AUCGGGGCGCCACCACCCUGCCCCGCGGCUGACCAAUCCAUCCCGGCCUCGGCGCCUCCCCGCCGGCCACCCGCUUCCCCGUCCACUCCCCCGAGCAGCCCUUCGGAUCCAGCGGCACCCCUCGUCCUCCUUGCGGCCGUGAUGCUGCCACCAGUCCUUUGUUGACUUGGAUUGAUUUUUGAAGAAGAUAGGCAAUGCAAGUAAGCUUCCAACAGGCCUGAGUUGCAUGCCUGAAUAAACCUAACAGAACCAAAGAAAGCUUAUGUUGGCAAAAACAGAAUUUGAUUUAUGUGCAUAUCUUCUAUCUUAGCAAGGUAAAAUCUUGAGUGUUGCAAAACACUUCUUUUUCUAGCACAAGCCACAAAACAUUUUUGAAAUAAUAAGGGUAUGAGCUGUGCUUUAUUUCAUUAAUAGAGAGAAGAGAAUAAAAGUACCCAAAAAAGGGGGU